AAAUGAGCCAUAAACAACUUUUCCUCCUUCUCUUUUUUCCCCCAAGAGACCUGAAGUGAGUGUUUGGGUUUUCAGUCUCUAGACCAACAUCCUACCCAAUGCUCAGACACCAAGUGCCCUGGCCAUAAGGAACCUCUUGCACCUUUUGAGUGAUUCCCCAGCAGCCCAGCUUGCUCAAGUGCUGCCACAGAGGUUGGUGACCACCACAGAGGAACAACUCUGGCUCUGUCUCCUCACUACUACCCCACCAGAAAAGCUCAGGGGUUAUCUGCAGUAAUCAUCUCAAAUCUCCAUGUGAGACAAGAGAGGACAGGUGAGGAGGUUAUGUGCCUGUUGCAACCAGAGGAUAGCUGGGUUUUUUGCUCCAGACAUACCAAGUCCUGCUGUCCAGCUCACUUCAGGACAACUCAAGGAGACCCCCCUAAUCCCUGUUCUGCAGGGCUACAGCUAAACGGUGUGAAUGAGCUGGGUGUGAGUGCUCCCCUGCACAGCCACACAUAAGCUGCUGCCCUGGUCACCUGGGGGUUUUGGGUAGAACUACACUCACUGCAGGAGAUGAAUAUCUUCAGACUGUGAGGAUGCCGCAAGUGCUAAUCUAAUAUUGGCUCCACUUUGAGCAGAGGUUUGACUAGGAAAUAGUUUCUGUGAUCCAAUGAUAAUGAUCAGUGAUGAUGAUCUAAGAUGCAACCCUUGUUAGGUUAGGUCUGUAUCUCAUCCAUCACUAGUUCUUGGCUACACUGAUGAGGUUUUCCAAAGAAAAAAACCCAAACUAAUAAAAUUUUUAAAAAUCA